GACAAUGAAGACGGAAGUGUCUUCAAAGUGAAUAGGCAACGAUUGAAAUUGUAUAUCGGUACAAUGGAAUUGAUAAAGUGCAUAGCUACUAUAUAUCUCUAUGAAGUCUGAGUAAUUGAGAUGACUCAGUCAUGCCACGACAUUAAAUCAGGUGCUAGUGGGAGACAACCCACAAAGUGUUGUUGUAAUCAUAGUUAGAGUUCUUGUGUUAUUUUUAUGCAAUCUGAUGUGUUGUGAAGUGUGCAGGGAUGAAAACACUGAAAGAAAGAAGUUCACAGUUGAAAAGGAGGUUAACGGUGAGAUUGAUGGACCAUCACAGGAAUGGCGGACCGUCACAUCUACCGUCAUAUUGAAGCUGAAAUUCUGAAUCAAUGGAACAAACUGACCGAGAAAUUGGCAGAAUGUCAACAAAUUGGCAGACCAUCAAAUCAAUUGUUGCAAUGAAGCAGAGUUUCCCAGGUUCUGAUAAGCCGCGAAGGCCAACCUGGCGGACCAUCGUGCCAACCAUCAAACAAAACCCAAAGGAGAGAGGAGUGAAGUACUACACUUUCAAGGUAUGAUCAUAACCCUUUCUUUGCUCUUUGAAUGGCAAAAAACAUAAAGUAAAUAAGUUUUUGGUUGAUAAAUUUCGUCUUGCUUUCUUUGUUUGCUUUGAAUUAUUGAUUGUUCUGAGUUCUAAACUUUGGUAUACUCUUUUCGGGUGAAGUCCGAGUAACCCAUGUGUUUAGAGUUGAAAAAUUUAUGCCUAAAUGGGAAAUGGUUUUCAUUACUAUGUCCGAGUAACCCACGUAUGCUAGGUGUUUGUAAAAAUGCUAAUGUGAAGUUUUGAACUGAAAAGGGUUGUCGACGGUCACCUUAGCAGACCGUCAAACCUGUGACAGACCUCCAUGUGAACUAUCGCAAGAAACCCACAGAUGUCAUACACUGGAUAGUAGUGACAGAUAACUUGGCCGACCAUCAGCAACCUGAUAGCCCGUCAGUUCAACCAUCAUAAGGCACUGGAAAUUGGUACCUGCUGGAUAAGGCCCGGCGGCCAAUCCGACAGACUGUAGCAACAUCGAUGGACCGCUGCUGGAACUAUAAGCUAAAUUUUUUAGUGUUUUUCUGAUUCUGCACUGCACACUGAUUGUUCUUUCUUUUUCUAAGCAUUAUGGCACACAAACUUCUAAUAAUCAGUGGAAGUGGUAGAUCUCAAAGAGGUAUGAGAGAGUCAGCACUCGCCUACAACACUCGACAAAGAGAAAGAGAAACUCAUACUCUAUCCCAGUCUGAGGAGGAGAGUGAGAGUAGCACUAACAAUACCAGCUCAAGCCCUGAUGAGGCGAGGGUUGAUUUAUCUCAGCCCAAGCCAAUCGAUAUUGAAACUAAGGCUACCAAUGUGGAGGAGUAGACUGAAGCGAUUGAUGUAGAGACUGAGCCUGAGAAUGCCAAUGUGAUCAAAUGUAAGGAUCCUUAAAUCAGGAAGGCAAUUCGAUGGCAACUUAAGGGAUUAAGGGAAAAAUUCUAUGAUGGCCUGACACCGACAGUAAAUAGACCAAUCAAAAGGCCAUUUUCUCAGGAGUACCAGAUUGUGACAAUGGAGCUGCAUGAGUAUCCCAAACUAUAGAAACACUUCAAUGAAUAUAAGUUGGCUUGGAUGAGCAAACUGCCUGAAUCAUAUCAGCUUAACUAUGUAAAAAAGUUCUUUGCUAACUAUCUAGUGUUGGCAGAGAAGGAUUGUCCGAAGGGGUCAGUGGUUUUAGACUUGCACAACUGGGAGUCAGUCCCAGUCCGACGUGUGUAUAUUGAUAUUUCAGCCCGACCGAUCAAUAGGAUACUUUUUGGACCUGAUUAUGAAGCUCCCCCUGCUGUCACUGAUCUUGAGUACCGGCUAUCAUCUAUAUCUACUCAGAGGCCCUGGGUGGCCAAGUAAUUGACUGAUGAUGGUAAACCCUCUUGGGCAACCAACCUACGUGAGCAUAUUGCAAAGUCUUUCCUUAGCUUUAGAGCUAAGUUUUGGUGGGCUAUUCUUCGACUUAGGUUGAUGCCAAUAGAAGGAGACACACAUUUGGACAAACACAGAGCUAUCCUGGUGGCUAGUUUGAUUGUAGGGCUGAAGAUAGAUUUUGGCCAAAUCAUUGCGGAGCAAAUUUUUGUGAGGGCACAUAGGGUGUCGAGUGUACUACCAUUUUCAUAUUUGAUCAUGAAGUUAUGCAGGCAGGCAAAUAUGCCCUUGAUUUAGAGGUGUUGACAAUGUAUUCCAGGCAACACAUAGGACGGAUAUUGAGAAGUCUAAGGAUGACUCAAAAUUCGAAAUGCGGGUCAACAAACCUCCAAUCUAUUAGACUCAGUUCGCACUAACCCCGAAUACAUCAGAGAUUCCUUUAGGUAUGCCAUUGCCCAUCACCGCAUAUAUGCCACCUGAUUAUGUGCCACCAAGUAUAUCUGUAGGGUCAAUAUCUGCACCACUAAUGGGUGGAGAAAAUUAUGUAGAAUUUAGGUUGACGCCAAAAAAUUUUGCUAUUUCGGUAAGGCUGCAGAAAAAGUUUCAGAAACAGAUAGAUACUUAGGCUUCGCAAUUCAAUCCCUUUGUUGAUGAGAUUGUAGACGAGGCCAUCCGUCCUUUUCAAAGCAUUCAUACAAGAAUGGAUCACAUGGAAGAAAUCAUCAAUAAAAGGCUGGAUGCACUGUCUCUACCAUGUAUCGCUAAGCUCAUGGCUAAAUUUGAGCAAGCGAAGGCAGACAUAGCAGAGUAGAAGGGUAGGCAGUUCCAGUAGCCAAAUUUUAAUCCAUCCCUCGUGGUAAAUGAUGAAGACGAAGGUAUUGUUGAUCUGAUGGUAAUACCAGUGAAAGAAAAAGACAAGAAAUAAGUAAAUGAAUGUGAAUAAAAGAGAGAGGCAAGAAGAAGAAAGAGAGAAGCCAUGACACCGGAAUAAAAAGAUCAGUAUAAAUCGAGGAACGCCAUGAACAGAUCAAGGAGAGAUGAAGAAAAAAGAAAGAAGAAGGCGGCAGAUGAAGUUGUCGGAGUUUCUACUAGCUGCCCCAACAAGGGGGCAAAGUUCAGACCUAGUCGGAGAGAUGAUACCUCCGAUUUUAGAGGGUGAGAUUUUGAGUACCCCUACCACCAUAGGGGUCAACGUUGUAGUAGGUGAGGACACUGGUUCCUUACCACACCUCAUAGAUGCCUCAAUGAAUAAAAGGCAUUACAAGUAUACCCACUCCUUUUUACUUUUAUUUGAUGCUUUGAGGACAAUGCAUAUAUUUUUCUGUGGGGAGUCGUGUACUUGUACCAUGGGGGGUUGUGUUGCCAAAGCUCUUUUCCCUCCAUGUUCUAUCUAGUAGAAUCGACAUGUCUAGGGUUGUGUUUUUCUCUUGCAUUUUAAUUUCUUAAGAUUGUGAUGUAAAUAUCCGUGGUUAAUGCUUAUUUAUAAAAUGUCUUUUCUUUCAGUAUCCUUUUGUAUAUAUGAAUGAUGAAUGAUGUUGGC